CGCCGCGGGCCGACCAGCCGCACGCGCAGGAACAACACUGGACAAGGAAGCGUUGGAGCGCGUGCACCCCGCCCCCCACAGCCCGCCAGCCAGCCCGCUGUCUCCCUGCCCCACUUCUCCCCGCGACAGCGAUCCGGCAGGGCCGACCGGCUGCCUGCGCGAAGUACGGGCGUGGCUCCGGAGGAAGGAGGGCGGACCUCGCGCCGACUGACACAGAGGCCCCGCCCGUGGACCCACCCUUCCGCGCCCGGAAAUGCGGGCUUGCAGGAGACCGGAGUCUGAGCCCGUACCCUGGCUGGCAACAGACUUCGCUGUCUCAUUUCGGCCCGGGAGUUCCACUUUCAAAGCACUUUCCGGAGGCAUAGAGUCGGCUUGGCCACUGAAGGCCCGGGCUGAGGGCGCUGCGCUGUCACCAUGGAGAGAUCUCAAAUGAUCAAUGCAACUGAAGUAGGAAAAUGGGGGAGAAGAUGGAGAUAGAGCCCAACUAGUUCAUGGUCUCAACUUACUGAAACAAGUCCUUGUAAAAAACA